rnacentral:misc_RNA from 1 species
AAAACGAGAAAUAGAAAGGGCUAUUGUCAACAACAGCAAGAAGCAUCUUCCACGCACCACACCCACUCAUAUAUAGCCACCCACUCUCCAUACAAAGAUUUUCCAUUUCUCUCUCUUUUUCUAUCUUUUUCUUCUUUUUUCUCUCUCUCUCAAACAGAGAUAUGAGGGAAGACGACUGGGUUACAGUGGCCAUGAGUGAUGACACGCUCGUCGUCCAGCUCCUUUUGAAGCUAAGCCAAGAGGAACCGCCGUCCCCCCCACUGUUCAAUAAGGGCGGCUCUGCGCCGGCUUUGCAGUUGCACUGGACCGUGAGACAACCUCGCUCUAAGCACGUGCCAAGGAAGAAAGCCGAUGCCACUCGGGCUAGUCCCACCACGCCGCUUUCUUGGAGCGGCGGCACCUCUGUUAGCGGUUGCGCAGCCGAUGGAUUCGAGGAGUCCAGCUUCCCUGCCAAGACAAUUGACAUCGCAAGAUCUAAGGUUGCCGUUGCCAGUGAAACACCAGCCACCAAGAGGUCAAGAAAGAAAAAGACCCUACCCGAGCUUAAAGAGGAGGAAAUUUUAUUGUUGAAAGAAA